rnacentral:rRNA from 1 species
CACGGGGGGAGCAAGCGUUGUUCGGAAUCACUGGGCGUAAAGGGCGUGUGGGCGGUCAGGUAAGUGGGAUGUGAAAGCCCUCGGCUCACCCGAGGAUCUGCAUCUCAAACUGCCUGGCUUGAGUAUGGGAGAGGAUGAGGGAAUUCCUGGUGUAGCGGUGAAAUGCGUAGAUAUCAGGAGGAACACCGGUGGCGAAGGCGCUCAUCUGGCCCAAUACUGACGCUGAGGCGCGAAAGCUAGGGGAGCAAACGGG